rnacentral:lncRNA from 1 species
GGGAAAUAUUUACGCAAAAAUUGAACGUCCACAGAAAAGAUUCUGCAACAGGCUGACAUUCAAUUAAAGCGCAUUUUGUUUUUUUUGGUGGAAAAAGUUUAAUGCACUUUGAUUGAAUUCUGGCCUAGGUUUUAUCUUACAAACACUGUACAGUUGGAUAAUAAUACUCGACUGACCUGCUUCCAUUUAGAAAGAAACUCAAACCAAACCCAAAACAGCUACUCUCAAAACGUAUCACUUCUGCACAUGGCUUAAAGAAAGUUUAUACACUUUUGUUUUUAUUUUCUCUAGUGUCUUUUACAUUUUUUACAAUCAAGUUUGGUUUGGGAGUAGAGGAAUAGGACUGUGGAGGUGGGGACACGGGACACCACUUUGUAAUUUGCUCCUGUUCCUCAAUAGAACACACGAUGAGCCAAUAAGCAAAGCCCAUGAUGUGAUGCUUGCUCUCAUUGGCAGAACUAGUGAUGUAUCUAACCACUGAUAUAGGAUCAGAUAUUUGUACACCCCCCUUAUGGUUCAAGUUAAGAUUGGGGAUGAUAAUCUGAUCCUAGAUCUGUGGUUAAGGUAAACUUUUGCCUCAAGUGUAAGUUAAGGAGUGAAUGGAAACCUACAGUAUCUGCUAAGUGUAUGGCAAUAAAUUGACAAAAUAUUGAAACGAUAAUUAAUUAAAAAACAUAUAUAUAUACUUCUGGGGUUAAAAACUUGAACACAGUUAGCCUCUCAGUACUCGUCAGUACUCAAGAAAGAAGUUUCAUUAGGCUGAGUUUACACAGGCAGCAAAAUUCUGAUCUUUAGCCUUAUUAUUGGAAAAAGAGCUGAUUUGAUUGGUCAAAAGACCAAUUAGUGGACAAAGAUCUGAAUUAGGCUGCCUGUGUAAACGCAGCCUUUUAGACACAGAUCUAGCAUCAUAAUACCCUCUCUAAAUCCUAACCUUUACCAUUAGAGGGAAAACACAAGACUGAUCUUAGAUCAGUAUAUAGGGGCAACUUAAUCCACAAAUCGACACAGCUGGAGUUUUGGCCUAUAGAAAACCCACUGACCAAGAACUCAAAACCAAAGCAGUAACACUGUUGAUCGAUAACCGUCGCUAGAGUGGGAGUGUAUGUAGCCUAUGCUUUAGCUCAGUGGGCUAACACAGUCUUGUGGCAUUGCAGAUGAUCCGGGUUUAAACACAGUGGGUACAUAUGCAGCAUGUACCACCAACCUGCUCAGUGUUUCAAUGCCAUGUUCACAAAAACACAAUGUCUUGUGGAAACACUGACAUUACCGUUGACCCAAGGUUUCAGGAAGGGGCCAUCCCCAUUGUGAUACUUAGCAAGUCAGUGGCAAGUCAGCCACUAUAUGGCUAACAAACACACCGUGUAUAGCCACAGUGGUUUAGUGAUGGGUAACCAUGCCUGAGACCUGAAGACUUGUAUUAGCUUCCACGGCUAAUGGCUAGGCUUUAGCUGAGAGGGCUAACACAUCUUGUAUCACACGGACGACCCAGGUUUUACACCAGAUUGGUCACACAUACACCCCCACCUCACUCCUUACCCUCAUGUACCUUAUACCCCUCACUCCACAGCACACAGAUACAUGCGAUCAAUCAAUCGAUUAAUCAAUGAAUCAACAAAUCAUAGAUUCACUAAAAUACAUGCUAUACAUCAGCCUAUGACUUCAUGUAGGCGACUGUGGAUUCCUAUUAAGAUAAUUGUCCUAAUCCCUUUUUCAAUUAAAUCUGCCAUCUCCACUUGAGUGUCACUAUCUCUGUGGGUGAGUAAGUAACCAGGCCAGACAGGUGUGUGUUGGGUUGGUAGACAGGUGUACCAGGUGGGACAGGUGUGUGUUGGGUUGGUAGACAGGUGUACCAGGUGGGACAGGUGUGUGUUGGGUUGGUAGACAGGUGUACCAGGUGGGACAGGUGUGUGUUGGGUUGGUAGACAGGUGUAC